CCUGGGCAACAAGAGUGAAAUUCCAUCUCAAAAAAUAAAAAUAAAAAAGAACUGAAUAAAAGCGCAACAAACUCCCCACAGGGGCCGGGGGCGGGGGAGAAAAAAAAGCAUAGUAGCUCAUUCCUGUAAUCCCAGCAUUUUGGAAGGCCGAGGCAGGAGGAUCACUGGAGUCCAGGAGUUCAAGGCUAGCCUGGGCAAGAUAAGACACUGCCUUUACAAAAAAAAAAAAAAAAUUAUCCAGGCAUGGUGGUACAUGCCUGUGGUCCUAGCUACUUGGGAGACUGAGGCCGGAAUAUUGCUUGAGCCCAAGACGUCAAAGCUGCAGUGAGCCAUGACUGUGCCACUGUGAUCCAGCCUGGGCAACAAAGCAAGACCCUGUCUCUAACAAAAAAGUGAGUACGAAACUGAAAAUGAAUACCAUAGCACAAAGCCAGUAGGAGGCAGCCUAGGAAAAGCUGGGUUCCUGCCAUACUGCACACAGCACUUCACUUCAUUUCCUUUCCCUUUUGACAAUAAUCACCAGGAAUCCUAGGGGUGACAAGAUGCCAUGGCUUCCUCAGAUUAAAAUUCUCAGUGUCAUUAACAGAGGUGGCUUCACCUCCUUCUGCCAGCAGGGUUGUACAGAUCCAUUAUGAGCAAACAGAGCAAGGGCCUGGAGAAUGCGAGGCUUGGGAAUACAGGACCCAGUUGUCACCUUCCAUGUAAGUCUCAGUGUGACAGGUGACAAGGUGGGCAGCCUUGUAAGAUGCUCCCCACCAAUUCCCUCCCUGAGAAUAGGCUGGAACUAGUGACUGGCACCUAACAGACAGAGUGCAACAGUGAUGAAGUUAUGAGAGACUGCGGCUUUUGUCUUGCUCUCGUUCUCUCCAGCUGUCCUUGCUUGUGACCUUUGAUGGAGACAGCUGCCAUGUCGUAGGCUGCCCUGAGGACUACUCCGUAGCAUGAUGAAGGGCAGAGGGCGAUCUUUAGCCAAUAGCCAUAAGAAACCAAGAUCCUUACUUAGCCUGACAGUCUGUGAGGAACUGACUCCUGCAACAACUAUACGAGUGAGCAGGGAAGCAGGCCCUCCCCCAGUGAAGCCUGGAACACACCUUCACUGCAGCCUGCAGAGACAUGGACUGCAGCCUGGAGAGACGCUCAGGACUCAGCUCAGCCAUGCGCAGAUUCCCGACCCACAGAAACUGUGAUGAAAUAGAUGUGUGUUAUUUUAAGUGGCUACGUUUUGAGGUAAUUUGUUAUGGCACAUUAGAAAACUAAUACACCUUGAUAAAUAAUGUGCUUAAAGAGAUAAUAAAUCACUACUGUUAAGUCUAAAAGGGCAUUUGUAAAUUAUUUAUAUAGGAUCAACUAAGCCAAUGGAGGUUAUAUCAGCUUCAAAAAGGAAAACCAGAACUUCAAAAUCUGGAGCCGCUGGGCGCAGUGGCUCACGCCUGUAAUCCCAGCACUUUGGGAGGCUGAGGCAGGCGGAUCAUGAGGUCAAGAGUUCGAGACCAGCCUGACCAACAUGGUGAAACCCCGUCUCUACUGAAAAUACAAAAAUUAGCCAGGCGGGGUGGUGCAUGCCUGUAAUCCCAGCUACUCAGGAGGCUGAGGCAGGAGAAUCGCUUUAACCUGGGAGGCGGAGGUUGCAGUGAGCCAAGAUUGCGCCACUGCACUCUAGCCUGGGCAACAGAGUGAGACGCUGUCUUGAAAAAAAAAAAAAAACACAUACACAACAACCAAAAGACAACAACAACAAAAGUGAGCUCUUCCUAGGCACGGUGGCUCUUGUUUGUAAUCCCCCCAGCACUUUGCGAGGCCAUGGCAAGAAGAUCACUUAAGCCCAGGAGUUCAAGACCAGCCUGAGCAACAUAGGGAGACUCUGUCUCUACUAAAAAUUUGAAAAGAAAAAAAAAACAAAACUGAGCUGUCUCAUUUACAUGAAAUGUUCAAAAUAAGCAAAUCUAUAGAGACAGAAAGUAGAUUCGUGGUUGCCAUGCCAGAUGAGAAAGAAUGACUGCUGACAGGCAGCGACUACUUUUUGGGGUGAUAAAAUGUCCUGGAAUUAGAUCAUUGUGGUGGUUAUGCAACCUUGUGAAUGUACACUUUAAAAUGGGACAUUUUUAUGGUUUCUGGAUUUGAUUUCAAUUUAAAAAAAAAAUUUAAGUGAGCUCUUAUGGAGGGAAGCUAACACUUCCAUUUAACAUCUCCCCAAAUAGUUAUGUUCCAUUCCCGCACCCAGGAUGAUAGACUUGCACUGCUCGAGGAGGACACAUAAAUGACGGUGUGACACUGGCCUGAUGACGCAGCUCAGAUCUCAUUCCAGAUGUUAGAUCCCUGUUCUUAAGACUUAAAGGACCGGGCAUGGUGGCUCACCCCUGCAAUCCCAGCACUUUGGGAGGCCGAGGCAGGUGAAUCACCUGAGGUCAGGAGUUCCAGACCAGCCUGGCCAAC
rnacentral:lncRNA from 1 species